CGCGUAGGAAUCUACCCAGUAGCGGGGGACAACAUGGUGAAAACCAUGCUAAUACCGCAUACGCCCUACGGGGGAAAGGGGGCGUUCGGCUCCCACUAUUGGAUGAGCCUGCGUAAGAUUAGCUAGUUGGUGAGGUAAAGGCUCACCAAGGCGACGAUCUUUAGCUGGUCUGAGAGGAUGAUCAGCCACACUGGGACUGAGACACGGCCCAGACUCCUACGGGAGGCAGCAGUGGGGAAUAUUGCACAAUGGAGGAAACUCUGAUGCAGCCAUGCCGCGUGUGUGAAGAAGGCUCUAGGG
rnacentral:rRNA from 1 species